GAGAGCACAGUACGAUGAAAGUUGUAAGCUGUGUUCGGGGGGGAGUUCUAUGGGUAGAAUCAGUCGGGGGCCCGAGAGGCGGUGGUUUACCUGUGGCGGAUGUCAGCGGUUCGAGUCCGCUAUCUCCAC
rnacentral:ribozyme from 1 species